AUCCAUGUUUUCAAUUUAGGGCUUCUACAACUUCUGCAGCUACGUGACUUGGCUUGUGUUCAGGCGGAAACACUUCCAAGUGAUUCGGGAAGAAAUCGGCAGGCUCCUUUGCUCCGACAUGUUCAAUCUCGCCUUAAGAGACAGGAACCAUGUUUCUUUGCAGACUGCUGAUGCAAAUGCAGUGAGAUUACCACGUCAGAGACAAGUCGGUGCCAAGCAUCCAUCCAUAAACAGCAUGGUUUACCAGCACUCACCUGUGCUCAGCACACUGCUGCCCUUACCAAAGGAGAGUGCUCAGUACCGCUCCCAGAGCCACUACUGUCAGGGCAGAGACCCACAGCUGUGCUCGUGUGACAUCCUACCAGACUUCUCACAAUUGCUUACUACCAAGGUGGGCAUCAUUGGAGCUCACUGUAGUGAGUUAAAUUCCUUUUUGCUCCAGUCUGAUGGGACAAUGGAAGAGGAAGAACAAGACCAAGACCAAGAACAAAGAGAAGAACAAGGAAAUCUAAGGAGUCAUUCCUUUGUCCUGACAAAAGAUCUGAGUUUAUCAGCCCUGUGA
rnacentral:lncRNA from 1 species